GUCGGGUGCAGUGGCGCGCGCCUGUAAUCCAAGCUGCUGGGAGACUGAGGCUGGCGGAUCGCUUGAGUUCAGGGGUUCUGGGCUGCAGUGGACUAUGUUGAUCAGGUGUCCACACUAAGUUCGGUAUCGAUAUGGUGCUCCUGGGGGAGCUCGGGACCACCAGGUCGUCUAACGAGGGGUGAACCGGCCCAGGUCGGAGACGGAGCAGGUCAAAGCCCCCGUGUCGAUCAGUAGUGGGAUCGCUCCUGUGAAUAGACACUGCAGCGCAGCCUGAGCGAUACAGAGAGACCCAGACUUUU
rnacentral:SRP_RNA from 1 species